UACGGAGGGUGCAAGCGUUAUCCGGAUUCACUGGGUUUAAAGGGUGCGUAGGCGGGCAGGUAAGUCAGUGGUGAAAUCCUUGAGCUUAACUCGAGAACUGCCAUUGAUACUAUCUGUCUUGAAUAUUGUGGAGGUAAGCGGAAUAUGUCAUGUAGCGGUGAAAUGCUUAGAUAUGACAUAGAACACCUAUUGCGAAGGCAGCUUACUACGCAUAUAUUGACGCUGAGGCACGAAAGCGUGGGGAGUCAAAACAGGA
rnacentral:rRNA from 1 species